GACGAACGCUGGCGGCGUGCUUAACACAUGCAAGUCGAACGCUGAAGCUCAGCUUGCUGGGUGGAUGAGUGGCGAACGGGUGAGUAACACGUGAGUAACCUGCCCUCUUCUUUGGGAUAACGCCCGGAAACGGGUGCUAAUACUGGAUAUUCACUGAUUCUCGCAUGGGGGUUGGUGGAAAGGUUUUUUCUGGUGGGGGAUGGGCUCGCGGCCUAUCAGCUUGUUGGUGGGGUGAUGGCCUACCAAGGCUUUGACGGGUAGCCGGCCUGAGAGGGUGACCGGUCACAUUGGGACUGAGAUACGGCCCAGACUCGUACGGGAGGCAGCAGUGGGGAAUAGUGCACAAUGGGCGAAAGCCUGAUGCAGCGACGCCGCGUGAGGGAUGGAGGCCUUCGGGGUGUAAACCUCUUUCGCUCAUGGUCAAGCCGCAGCUUGGGGUUGUGGUGAGGGUAGUGGGUAAAGAAGCGCCGGCUAACUACGUG
rnacentral:rRNA from 1 species